UUUCGUAGUUUAAAUUACCUAAUACAUUUUAGAUUUUUCGUAAUUGAGGAGACUUUUUAUUAUCCGUAGAUACAAAGGUCUUGACGACAUUCUGCAAUAUGAUGAGCUAUUAGAAGGUUGUAUGGUGACCUACAAAGCCCACGACUGUGAUGUUUAUCGCUAAUAUUUUUCCAAUCGAACAAAGCGACUCAUGAUUGCAGCAAGACCUGUCUGUUAACAUAUGCCCAUUAUAAUAAAUUGCUAAGAAAACUGAUGGUAGAAUGGUAAUGAGAUAAUUUAACUGCAUUGAUUACAAUCUAAAUCAUAGACAUAUACAAAUAUAUUAGCUGCUUCGGGUAAAUACAGCAUUUGCUACAUUUUACAAUGGCAUCAGCAUGUUAUUCCAGAGAUGAAGAAAUCUGCGCGAAGAUAGAAAGAAUACACACUAGGCG